CGAUAUAUCCGGCAUUUGUGUGUCAUAGGACACUAAUUGGCCUAUUCACCUCUGGGUGUUGACCCUGUGUACGAGUGAUUCUCACCUUGUGUGUAGCCUGUCUUCACAGGAACCACCACUUCCAUUAUCAUAAGUACACCGUGUUCAUUUAUAUGAGCACAAGUCAAGUCGAACACAAUACAAGAGAUUUUGCUCUUA